UACGUAGGGGGCGAGCGUUGUCCGGAAUCACUGGGCGUAAAGCGCACGUAGGCGGACUCUUAAGUCGGUGGUGAAAUCCUGGAGCUCAACUCCAGAACUGCCUUCGAUACUGAGAGUCUCGAGUCCGGGGAGAGGUGAGUGGAACUGCGAGUGUAGGGGUGAAAUUCGUAGAUAUUCGCAAGAACACCAGUGGCGAAGGCGGCUCACUGGCCCGGUACUGACGCUGAGGUGCGAAAGCGUGGGGAGCAAACAGG
rnacentral:rRNA from 1 species